UACGUAGGGCGCAAGCGUUGUCCGGAAUUAUUGGGCGUAAAGAGCUCGUAGGCGGCCUGUUGCGUCUGCUGUGAAAUCCCGGGGCUUAACCCCGGGCGUGCAGUGGAUACGGGCAGGCUAGAGUUCGGCAGGGGAGACUGGAAUUCCUGGUGUAGCGGUGAAAUGCGCAGAUAUCAGGAGGAACACCGGUGGCGAAGGCGGGUCUCUGGGCCGAUACUGACGCUGAGGAGCGAAAGCGUGGGGAGCGAACAGG
rnacentral:rRNA from 1 species